rnacentral:rRNA from 1 species
UACGAGGGGGGCAAGCGUUGUUCGGAUUUAUUGGGCGUAAAGGGUGCGUAGGCGGUUUGGCAAGUCUUGUGUGAAAUCUUCGGGCUCAACCCGAAGCCUGCAUAAGAAACUGCCGGGCUUGAGUAUGGGAGAGGUGAGUGGAAUUUCCGGUGUAGCGGUGAAAUGCGUAGAUAUCGGAAGGAACACCUGUGGCGAAAGCGGCUCAC